rnacentral:rRNA from 1 species
CCUACGGGAGGCAGCAGUGGGGAAUCUUGCGCAAUGGGCGAAAGCCUGACGCAGCAACGCCGCGUGGGGGAUGAAGGCUCUCGGGUUGUAAACCCCUUUCAGCAGGGACGAAAUCAGACGGUACCUGCAGAAGAAGCUCCGGCUAACUACGUGCCAGCAGCCGCGGUAACACGUAGGGGGCAAGCGUUGUCCGGAUUUAUUGGGCGUAAAGAGCUCGUAGGUGGCUGAGUAAGUCGGAUGUUAAAUCCCCAGGCUCAACCUGGGACACCACCCGAUACUGCUCUGGCUAGAGUCCGGUAGGGGAGCGUGGAAUUCCUGGUGUAGCGGUGAAAUGCGCAGAUAUCAGGAGGAACACCAGCGGCGAAGGCGGCGCUCUGGGCCGGUACUGACACUGAGGAGCGAAAGCGUGGGUAGCAAACAGGAUUAGAUACCCUGGUAGUC